AUACGUAGGGUGCAAGCGUUAAUCGGAAUUACUGGGCGUAAAGCGUGCGCAGGCGGUUUUGUAAGACAGUGGUGAAAUCCCCGGGCUCAACCUGGGAACUGCCAUUGUGACUGCAAGGCUGGAGUGCGGCAGAGGGGGAUGGAAUUCCGCGUGUAGCAGUGAAAUGCGUAGAUAUGCGGAGGAACACCGAUGGCGAAGGCAAUUCCCUGGGCCUGCACUGACGCUCAUGCACGAAAGCGUGGGGAGCAAACAGGAUUAGAUACCCUGGUAGUCCACGCCCUAAACGAUGUCAACUGGUUGUUGGGUCUUCAUUGACUCAGUAACGAAGCUAACGCGUGAAGUUGACCGCCUGGGGAGUACGGCCGCAAGGUUGAAACUCAAAUGAAUUGACGGGG
rnacentral:rRNA from 1 species